rnacentral:rRNA from 1 species
UGGCACGAGCGAGCAUUGCUUGCGAAGUGAUUGGAAGUGGUUCCAAGAAAAGCCUCUAAGCUUCAGCUGUACGAGACCGUACCGCAAACCGACACAGGUGGACGGGAUGAAUAUUCCAAGGCGCUUGAGAGAACUCAGGAGAAGGAACUCGGCAAAUUGAUACCGUAACUUCGGGAGAAGGUAUACCCCGGUAGUGUGAAGCGCCUGCGCGCUUAGCAUGAUGGGGUCGCAGAGAAUCGGUGGCUGCGACUGUUUAUUAAAAACACAGCACUCUGCAAAGACGAAAGUCGACGUAUAGGGUGUGACGCCUGCCCGGUGCCGGAAGGUUAAGUGAUGGGGUGCAAGCUCUUGAUCGAAGCCCCGGUAAACGGCGGCCGUAACUAUAACGGUCCUAAGGUAGCGAAAUUCCUUGUCGGGUAAGUUCCGACCUGCACGAAUGGCGUAACGAUGGCCACACUGUCUCCUCCUGAGACUCAGCGAAGUUGAAGUGUUUGUGAUGAUGCAAUCUACCCGCGGCUAGACGGAAAGACCCCAUGAACCUUUACUGUAGCUUUGCAUUGAUCUGUGAACCGGCCUGUGUAGGAUAGGUGGGAGGCUUUGAAGCGUGGUCGCUAGAUCACGUGGAGCCAUCCUUGAAAUACCACCCUGGUUUGUUUGCGGUUCUAACCUUGGUCCGUUAUCCGGAUCGGGGACAGUGCAUGGUGGGCAGUUUGACUGGGGCGGUCUCCUCCCAAAGUGUAACGGAGGAGUUCGAAGGUACGCUAGGUACGGUCGGAAAUCGUGCUGAUAGUGCAAUGGCAUAAGCGUGCUUGACUGUGAGACUGACAAGUCGAACAGGUGCGAAAGCAGGACAUAGUGAUCCGGUGGUUCUGAAUGGAAGGGCCAUCGCUCAACGGAUAAAAGGUACUCUGGGGAUAACAGGCUGAUACCGCCCAAGAGUUCAUAUCGACGGCGGUGUUUGGCACCUCGAUGUCGGCUCAUCUCAUCCUGGGGCUGUAGCCGGUCCCAAGGGUAUGGCUGUUCGCCAUUUAAAGAGGUACGUGAGCUGGGUUUAAAACGUCGUGAGACAGUUUGGUCCCUAUCUGCCGUGGGCGUUGGAUACUUGACGGAGCCUGCUCCUAGUACGAGAGGACCGGAGUGGACGUACCUCUGGUGUACCGGUUGUCAUGCCAAUGGCAUUGCCGGGUAGCUAAGUACGGAAGAGAUAACCGCUGAAGGCAUCUAAGCGGGAAACUCGUCUGAAGAUAAGGUAUCCCGGGGACUUGAUCCCCCUGAAGGGUCGUUCGAGACCAGGACGUUGAUAGGUCGGGUGUGGAAGCGCAGUAAUGCGUUAAGCUAACCGAUACUAAUUGCCCGUGAGGCUUGAUC